rnacentral:lncRNA from 1 species
GCUCAGAAUGCCCAGGAACACUUUGUAUCCUUGUCUUGGAGUCCUAGAGUGAGGACAUCUCCCCGUAUCCUCCCCCAGAGGAGUAGUUAAACACAAGGCCCUCCUGGAUGCAUGGAUGACCAUUGGCUGUGCAGAGAAUGGCUUGAUAAGUGUCAUGGAGACGGGAACCUUAAAAAUGCCAACAUCAAAGAUUCUAGUUUGCUUCUUCCAGGGAAUUCUUCACGGUCAUAUGAUAGGAAUUAGCUUGUCUUGUGCUUGUUUCUGACAUUUCUGCUCCUCUCUGACUCUGACUCCUUGUUUCUCUGUGUUUAUCCUUUAACCCUUUUUCCUCCCUCCUCCAUAUUACCUCCCCUUCCCAACAAGGCCCUGGCUCAGUACAGGGACAGCUGGCUUCUGUUGAUGGCUUCCCAGGCCCAGCUGGUGGGGGUGGGAGUCUGGGUGGGACCUUGACUCCACCACCAAGUAUCCUAGACAGGCUUCUCCAUCCCGGCCCUUGGGAGAGCCCUACCUGGCCAUGAUGGGCCUUUCUGCCCCCUGCCCUGGAGCCUGCAAAGCUCCUGCUUCUCUGACCCACCACGAGGGACAGUGAGGCAGAAAGUGCUGAUCAAGGGUCAGAGUUCGAGCCUCAGACUGUUGAGCCUUUUAAACUCAAACAUCAGCUCUCAUCCUCAAAGCCUGAACUGUGCUGAGGCCCAAGCCAGAGCCCUAAGCCCACCUGGCACACGGAAGGGGCGGGAGCCCCCAUUUCUGGCUGCUCAUGGACCAUUACCUGGUCACUUUGCAAAGAUAGCCUUCUGGGGGAAGACAAGUCACUCAGUUAUUACCACCAAGGGGACAGCAAUGAAUUGGCACAGUUCCUGUCAAUCUUUCCACACCCUCAAGCCCUAUGUUGCCCUGAUCCCUGGAUUGCUGGAGCUUCAAGGGCUGGGCCCGUGGACCUCUGGGGAGCCUGCUAAGAUGGUGUAAGCACCUUGGGCCUGGUUCUGGCUUUUAGGAAAGAACCUCACCCAGAGUCUAAGGUAGAAGGUGCUGAGGAACCUGGAGGCCUGACCCGGCCCUUUCCCAUACAAGGGGUAUGUGUUGGUAAUACAUGUGGGUGCCAGGUUUUUGAGGCACAUUCAAUAAUCCUCCGUGAGGCUUCCCCCAGUUCCUAC